CCCUCAGGGCGGGGGCGGGACGAGGGCCGAGCCCGGGCCUUCCCGCUCGGCUCCGGAGCUCGGACGGCGUCCCGAAGCACCCUGGCACGUUAAA
ensembl:miRNA gga-mir-6596 gga-mir-6596